GACGAACGCUGGCGGCGUGCCUAAUACAUGCAAGUCGAACGCUUCUUUCCUCCCGAGUGCUUGCACUCAAUUGGAAAGAGGAGUGGCGGACGGGUGAGUAACACGUGGGUAACCUACCCAUCAGAGGGGGAUAACACUUGGAAACAGGUGCUAAUACCGCAUAACAGUUUAUGCCGCAUGGCAUAAGAGUGAAAGGCGCUUUCGGGUGUCGCUGAUGGAUGGACCCGCGGUGCAUUAGCUAGUUGGUGAGGUAACGGCUCACCAAGGCCACGAUGCAUAGCCCAACUGGGAGGGGGGUCCGCCCCCACUGGACUGGAGACACGGCCAGACUCCUACGGGAGGCAGCAGUAGGGAAUCUUCGGCAAUGGACGAAAGUCUGACCGAGCAACGCCGCGUGAGUGAAGAAGGUUUUCGGAUCGUAAAACUCUGUUGUUAGAGAAGAACAAGGACGUUAGUAACUGAACGUCCCCUGACGGUAUCUAACCAGAAAGCCACGGCUAACUACGUG
rnacentral:rRNA from 1 species